rnacentral:rRNA from 1 species
CGCCUGUUUAUCAAAAACAUAGCCUUUAGCUAAACAAGUAUUAAAGGUAAUGCCUGCCCAGUGAAUUCACUUUCAACGGCCGCGGUACCCUAACCGUGCAAAGGUAGCGUAAUCAUUUGUCCACUAAUUAUGGACCUGUAUGAAAGGCCACAUGAGAAUCUGACUGUCUCUUGUAAUUAAUUUAUAAAACUGAUCUUCUAGUCCAAAAGCUAGAAUACCCAUAUAAGACGAGAAGACCCUGUGAAGCUUAAAAAACCCCAUUAAACCUAUUAAUGGGUAUUUUUAGUUGGGGCAACUUUGGAAAACAACCUAACUUCCAAA